GCCCCCAUAGCUCAGUUGGUAGAGCAUUCGCCUAGAUAGCGAAAGUCUCCCAGUUCAAGCCUCAGUGGAGGCA
rnacentral:tRNA from 1 species